CACUCACUCACUCACUCACUCACUCACUCACUCACUCACUCACUCACUCACUCACUCAUCACUAAUUCUCCAACUUCCCGUGUAGGUAGAAGGCUGAAAUUUGGCAGGCUCAUUCCUUACAGCUUACUUACAAAAGUUAGGCAGGUUUCAUUUCGAAAUUCUACGUGUAACGGUCAUAACUGGAACCUACUUUCGUAUACUGUACACGGCCAUAGCGGGCAGCUCGGUCGCCGUGUGAGGCGGUUGCGUCUUGCGUCUGGCAUCAUCACGCCUCCCACGUGAUUGAGUGCCUGCCCAUAUAAGGUAAAUAUUCGCGGGUGAAGGACUGUGCUUAGCAUAUUCAUAAGU